GACACUGCCUCGUCAAACCGCUCUGAAAGGUCAGGGAUGCGCUCUGGGUUCCUUCACGCAGACGUCUCAUUGGCUGAGAGGCCAGUCACUCAUGAGAGGUAACCUAAGCGCCCUGCAUUACAUCGCAGGUUGGCAGGCGGGUCCUGAUCUAUCAGAAACACAAUGACCUUCUCUUUAGGAUCAGUGGCGGCUGCUGUUGGAAUCUCAGAUUCCUGCCUGUUUUUUUCACCCCUGUUCCAGGAACAGAGGUAGUCUGAUACUGGUCGCCGCUGAGAACCCGCCCGGGUGGGGCAAUUAACGGUGUGCUGCCUACCGUCAGCGGCUCCUGGGGCCGGCGAAGCGAGGCCUGUGUUUUAUCGGGCGGGGGCGGUGUUUUACACACGCGGUGAGUGAUGCUGAUGUCACCGGGAGAGUGUGUGGAACAGAAGAGGUAUUAUUCGGUGCGGAGCACAAGUCUCUGAUCAUGCAGAGAAAUCUGGCGGUGAAAAUAGGAGGGGGAGAUGCAGGCUGUGAAACGAGAGCGAGCACGAAACAAGUCCCAAGAAACUUGAUGCUACACCGUCCAUUCCCCUCCACUGAAAAGUGACAAAAGAUUAGCACCACCACCACCACCACCACCCCCAACCACCAUCACCUCCCAUCCCGCCCCGAGAGGAAGGACCAGGCCGAUGAUUGAGGAGAAGCUCCCUCUAAGAGCAGAGCGCAGAGGAGUCUUUUCACAGCCACAGUCACCUGGAGGCCAUCAUGGAUCACACACAAUAGGUCACACCCAGUGGCUAUGGGACAGAAAAACACACACACACAGGCACGUACACACACACACACACACACACACACACACACACACACACACACACACACACACACACACUCAUACAGGCAUGCACACACACAUGCAGGCAUGCACACACACAUACACACACACACACACAGUAUGAACAGUGGUCAUGAUGAAGGGUAGGCUAUGUCACUC
rnacentral:lncRNA from 1 species